rnacentral:rRNA from 1 species
AGACGUCUACAUUAGACUACCCGGGUAGUCCCAGCCGUAAACUAUGCUCGCUAGGUGUCAGGCAUGGCGCGACCGUGUCUGGUGCCGCAGGGAAGCCGUGAAGCGAGCCACCUGGGAAGUACGGCCGCAAGGCUGAAACUUAAAGGAAUUGGCGGGGAGCACCACAACGGGUGGAGCCUGCGGUUUAAUUGGACUCAACGCCGGGAAGCUCACCGGAUAAGACAGCGGAAUGAUUGCCGGGCUGAAGACUCUGCAUGACUAGCUG